UCGUCAGCUACGAUAAUCCGGUGUCGGCCCAGGCCGCCAUCCAGGCCAUGAACGGCUUCCAGAUCGGCAUGAAGCGGCUCAAGGUGCAGCUGAAGCGCUCCAAGAAUGACAGCAAACCGUACUGAUCUUAGCACUAGGGCCCUUAGCGCUCCCGUAUUAGCACUGCUAGGACCAGCCCCAUGCCUGUUUGCCCAUCGUUUGCUCGCUCGCAUGUCUGCGUGCCGUCAGCCCCCAGCGUCCGCCCCCCCAGAGUCAGGCCCAUCGUCUCCUCAUUCUGUCCCGAUGUCUUUCCCAGCUCACCCGAUCAUAACCUGAUCUCCUCUUCCUGACCUCCUGAACCUAACUUGAUCUUUUUUGGAGUUUUUUUGCAUGACCUCAUUUUGACUUUUUUGAACAUUGAAGGCAGGAUUGGGCGGGUGGGAAUUCUGUGUGAAAAAGCCUGAAAUGGAACAGGAAAGGCUAUUCUACAAAGGGGGGGGGGGGUUUGUUUUGCAUUGUCUCCAUGUUGGACUUUUUGUUUUGUUUUGUUUUGUUUUUGUUUUGUUUUUUAAAUUGAUGAAAAUAAACUUGAAAGUACAACAUAGGGAUCGGCGUUUGCUCUCCCGCCCGCUGCCAGGGGUCGGGGGGCGCAGUGUCGGUUUCUAAGGCAAACAGACUACUUCCAAACAGUUCUGAAGAAAAAACAAACUGUGUGAGUAGUAUUAAUCUCUCAGAGCUCUGUAAUGGUUUUUACAUUUUUCAGGCAGUGUAAAGAUUUUGAUAAGGCCAUUUCAAGUGACUUUCUCAUUCAAAUCUAUUGACAGAACCACUUUUUUUUCUAGAGUAGUUUAAAGUUAAAAAAGACAAAAACUAAAAAAAUAUAUAUAUAUAUGAAAUAAAGAUUUGCCCUGUUUGGAGGGAAGCUACCUGUUCAUGUCACCUUUUGCUGAACUGACUCAUAGUUAGACAAUCCGUGGUUAAAUGCAAAAGAAAUGACUUAUAUUUUAUACUGUCUAAAUGUAUAGAUUGGGGGGGUUUAAAAGUAAAAAAACAAAAAAACAAAACAGGGGUAACUUGCAUUAACGUUGGUGCUUUUUGUGAAUUACGUUGUGGAGUCAUUACAAGUCCAAGGGUCUUAACUGUUUUAUGUUUUAAAGACAGAACUAAAAUUUGGUUUACUUGAACAAUAGAUGAAGCCUUCAUAUUAUGAUUGUUGCUAUAAUACUCUUGUUUCUUUUGUUUUUCUUUUCUUUCUCUAUUUGCGCUAAUUCUUGUUUGGUAAUUCGCUGUUUGCAAUUCCAAAAAGUGGAGUAUCGUUUGUAAGCGCUGUCAGUAUUAUUAUUUUUUUUCUUUCUAUUGUGGGAAACAAUUUGUAAAUGUGUUUUGUUGUUCGGCAAAAUGUGAUUUUUUUUUUCCCUUUUUUCUUUUCUUAUAAAGAGAAAAAAAAGUUAAGUGGAGUUUAGUGCCAAAACUCAGAGGUCUCCUGGCCUGAAUCUUCAGUGUACUUUGGGUGAACUUAUUUGAUAACAUGGGUAUUUUAUUACUUACGUGUUUUGUAUGGAUCCAUUAUAUUUAAAGACACAGUUUAAAAAAAAAAGAAAAAAAAAAAGCUUAACUUGCUAUUCUGUGGUCUUGUUGCCUGGAACUGUUAAUGUUGUUUGCUUUUUAUUCGUUUUUUUGGUAAGGAUGGAAAAAGUGCCCGUCUGUCACAUGUACACACACACACUCUCACAGACACGCUUCCUGUGCUGUAAAGGCAAACCUCACAAUCCGCUCUCCAUCUGCAUUCAUUGCGGAAGCCCUUUGUGGUUAUGCCCCCUACAGGCAGACCCCUUCCAUUGACCUCUGGCAGUCACAGUCUGCAGGUGUGCACAGGCACAUGCCACCAUUUAUUGUGAGGGGGGGGGACAUGUGGAGCCCUGUAGUCUUUGUCAGUCAGGUGCAGGGUGUCUCCUCAGCUGUCACCAGGGGGCGCCGGCCUCAGAGGAGAGAGCUUGUCGCAGUUAGCAUUAGCGAGCCUGUUCUCUGAAAAGCCCCUCUGCCUGUAGCGGAUAGCUAGGCACAACUGGGCAGAGGGUGUGCAGAGGAGCAGUGAUCCUCUGGGUCACGGGAGAGAGGAGUUGUCCCUCUUAAUGAGCUUGUGAGAGGGAGAUGAUUGUAUUUCUCUGAUGGUCUGUGCUCGUACUGUAGGCUUCAUGUGAAUCCAUCUUUAAUCGGUCAUCAAACAAAGGUAACGGAAGGUGUUCCGCUGUUUGAAGUAUUUCAGGGUUCGUUUCGGCUUUAUUUCCCCGUUUUUAUCACCGAGAACAGCGGCUUCCUCGGUCGUUAUUUUCAGGGACGGGGGCCUGAAUCAGGAUAGGUAGGACCGUCAAAUGGCAACGCAAAGCCCAGUCUGCCGGCCGGGUUUAGAGUUCAGUUUAUCCCUCAGGAUUCCAUAUCUGUUUAGAGCAGUGUUUCCAAAUCCAGUCCUCGGGGAUCCACAGUCGGUCCAUGUUUUUGCUCCCUCCGAGCUCCCUGCCAGACGGUCCACAUUUUUGCUCUGUCCCAGCUCCCAGCAAAAAACUUGGGCUAUCUGUUGGUCCCCGAGGACUGGAUUGGGAAACACUGGUUUAGAGUCAAAAGGAUUCAGGUGGUAUUUUAUCAAGCUCACCUGUGGCCUUAUUUUCAGGGGGGGGUUCCGGCUCUGUAUUAUGUCUCUUGGUCGAUUUGUAGGUGUGAUGGGACCAGAACUUAAACAGUGAAGGCAUUUUAAGCUCCUGGUGUAAUUUUGCCUUGAGUCUGGCAGUGUGCAGUAAGGGAGGUGCUGGAAUCAUCAGGCAGAGCCCAGGCUGGGAACUGCAAACCAUGCCUUAAAUUGUACGGCAUACAAGCAUGAGUUGAGGUGUGUGGUAAAUCAGUGUUGGUGGAAACAGGGAGUGUUUGGAGGCCGUCAAUGACCUAAACACGGUAUCUGCAGAGCACAGAGGAAGCAGACGUUCAGCACUGUUGCUACAGAAGCGUGUCUGCUGUAGAUAUAAGGACUUCUCUGCUUUUAGCAGUUGUUAAAAUUCUCCAAGACCCCGUCCUUGUUUACCGAGCCAAUCCACAUAGAAUCCUUUUACUCCCGCCCCCCCAGAAAGUAGUACAUCCGUGUUGGGUGGGGACAGAUAAUCUGACUCAACAGUAACAUUUUUGUGACACCCCCGACGCACACAUCAUGUAGGACCUAGAUCAUCUCCUGCAGGUACCCCCUCUCCCCCCUUUAAUAUCCGCAGAACCCCAAGAGCCUAUAAAUACGAGCUCUGAGGCUCCCAAAAGCACAGUGCUGGGCAGAGAGGGAGUAUUGGGUCCCUUAGUGGGGAACGAUUUAGAAGCACAAUGUCCCCAGAGACGGCUGCCCCCACGGGGCCCCUCAGAGGGCCUCUCCGACAGUCGGUGGCGCAGAGCUCAUUUCUUCAAACUUCAAACCUCCUGUUUUUUGUUUGUUUUUUUGUUCCCUUUGUAAUCGAUGCCACAAUGACAAACAAUAAAAAAAAAAACUUGUUUGUUUCUUUGGUUUUUUUGGCUUAUUGCAUUUGGGGGAGAAAAUGUGCCCAUUUUAUCUGCUGUGCCGUGAAAGCUUGCCUGUGGACAAAUAUAUUUUCUUUGGUUUGACUCCUAAGAAUUUGCAUAGUUUUGAGUAUUUGUGUUGAGAGCCAAAGUCCCCUGGGACCUGUCGCCGCGCUUUCAGUUCAUUUGAUGACACAUUAGGCUUCGUCAAUAGAUGGGAUUUUAAAAGUACAACUGAAGGCCGCUUAACUAUUUCUACAACAGAUUGUACUUAUGCAUUUUGUACUAGUGGAACUUUUUAUACCGAGAUUAAAGGAAAAAAAACUGAAAAACUGUCUGGCCUCGUUAUCUGGCCAGAUGGCAAGGCCACAAGUGGUUCCUGAGUCCGAUUUCGAGAUGGUGGUAAGGAAGAAGCGUUUUAAUAUAAGAUUUUUUUUUUUUUUUUUUUUUAAAAGAUCUUUGGCUUUGCGAUUCACGUCCCACAGUCCCGCCUUUAUAGUUAUUUAGUGGGACUGCUUUUAUUUUGGCUGUUAAAUACUUAAUGGAAGUUUGUCGAUUUACAGAGCGGUAAGUUUCAUUUUAUUCUGUAUCAUGCUGUUUAUAACGGGGGAAAAACUUAGGAUUUAGCCGUAUUUAGUCACCUUAAGUGGAUAAAUGUAUUAGACUAUAGAAGCGUUCUUUUCUUUCCUUUUAGUUCUUUAGGUUUCUAUGUCCUUUUGCUGUGAACCUUACCUGUGUAGCUGGAGCAGUCGGACUUAUUUUUGUAAACGUAUGUUCUUGUGUGAUGCAGUGUUUUUGUUUGGUUUUGUUUUUUGCUUCUGUCUCCAAUAUUAAACCAUUUUUUUCCUAA